rnacentral:rRNA from 1 species
GAUGAACGCUAGCGGCAGGCCUAAUACAUGCAAGUCGAGGGAGAAUGUUGGAUUCGUCUGACAUGAAACCGGCGCACGGGUGCGUAACACGUAUGCAACCUACCUUUAACUGGGGUAUAGCUCAGAGAAGACUGAAUUAAUCCCCCAUAAGACUACGACAUGGCAUCAUGAUGUAGUUAAAGCUCCGGCGGUUAAGGAUGGGCAUGCGGUACAUUAGCUAGUUGGUGAGGUAAUGGCUCACCAAGGCUACGAUGUAUAGGGGGUCUGAGAGGAUGAUCCCCCACACUGGUACUGAGACACGGACCAGACUCCUACGGGAGGCAGCAGUAGGGAAUAUUGGUCAAUGGACGCAAGUCUGAACCAGCCAUGCCGCGUGAAGGAUGAAGGCCCUAUGGGUCGUAAACUUCUUUUAUUAGGGAAGAAAAAACGGGAUGCGUCCUGUACUGACGGUACUUAAUGAAUAAGGAUCGGCUAACUUCGUGCCAGCCGCCGCGGUAA